rnacentral:rRNA from 1 species
GUCUUUUUGAUCAUAAUUUAAAGUCUGACCUGCCCAAUGAGGAUUUGAAUGGCCGCGGUAAUUUGACCGUGCAAAGGUAGCAUAAUCAUUAGUUUUUUAAUUGAAAGCUGGAAUGAACGGUUGGACGAGAAAAUGACUGUCUCAAUUUAAUUGGAAGUAGAAUUUUAUUUAUAAGUAAAAAAGCUUAUAUGAGAUUAAAAGACGAGAAGACCCUAUAGAAUUUUAUAGUGAUAUAUUUGUGUUGCGGUUAGGAUUGUAAGUUGCUAAAAUGUAAAGCUAUUUUGUUGGGGCGAUAGAAAAAUUAAUUGAACUUUUUUUUAUAUGAGGUCAUUGAUUUAUGUGUGGUUGAUCCGUUUUUUACGAUUAUAAGAUAAAAUUACCUUAGGGAUAACAGCGUAAUUUUUUUUUAGAGUUCUUAUCGAAAAAAGAGUUUGCGACCUCGAUGUUGGAUUAAAAUUAACUUUUGGUGCAGGGGCUAGAAGGUUAGGUCUGUUCGACCUUUAAAAUUUUACA